rnacentral:misc_RNA from 1 species
CACCCAACAGUCACUGGUAAUAAAUACUCCAAAGUACCAUAAGCGGUACAUCUUGCCAGUUGGGGAAACCAUGCAUGGAGCCAUCCGCACAAAAUCAAAAUAUCUGGGAUACAGCCUAGACAAUGAAGAUGUUUGGCAUCAGUUCCGGAAUGUUGUUCGAGCAACGAUCACCGAAACCCCCACAUCUUCAGUCAGAAAAGGGCGUUC